rnacentral:rRNA from 1 species
GUGUCAGCAGCCGCGGUAAUACGGAGGGUGCAAGCGUUGUUCGGAAUUAUUGGGCGUAAAGCGCGUGUAGGCGGUCGAGUAAGUCAGAUGUGAAAGCCUUCCGCUCAACGGAAGAAGUGCAUUUGAAACUGCUUGGCUAGAGUACGGGAGAGGAGAGUGGAAUUCCCGGUGUAGAGGUGAAAUUCGUAGAUAUCGGGAGGAACACCAGUGGCGAAGGCGGCUCUCUGGUCCGAUACUGACGCUGAGACGCGAAAGCGUGGGGAGCAAACAGGAUUAGAUACCCUGGUAGUCCACGCCGUAAACGAUGGGCACUAGGUGUAGGAGGUAUUGACCCCUUCUGUGCCGAAGCUAACGCAUUAAGUGCCCCGCCUGGGGAGUACGGCCGCAAGGUUAAAACUCAAAUGAAUUGACGGGG